GGAUGGUCUCAAUCUCCUGACCUCAUGAUCCGCCCGCCUUGGCCUCCCAAAGUGCUGGGAUUACAGGCAUGUGCCACUGCACCCGGCCGAGUCUUGACUCUUUAUCCAAUUUGCCAGUCUAUGUCUUUUAAUUGGGGCAUUUAUCCCAUUUACAUUUAAAGUUGAUAUUGCUAUAUGUGAAUUGGAUCCUGUCAUUAUGAUGUUAGCUGGUUAUUUCACCCAUUAAUUGAUACAGUGUCUUCAUAGCAUCAAUGGUCUUUACAAUUUGGUAUGUUUUUUGCAGUGGCAAAACAAAAAGGUUCUUCCUUUCCAUGUAAAGUGCUACCUUCAGGAGCUCUUCUAAGUCAGGCCUGGUGACAACAAAGUCUCUCAGCAUCUGCUUGUCUGUAAAGGAUUUUAUUUCUCCUUCACUUAUGAAGCUUAGUUUGGCUGGAUAUGAAAUUCUGUUUUGAAAAUUCUUUUAUUUAAGAAUGUUGAAUAUUGGUCCUGACUCUCUUCUGGCUUGUAGGGUGUAGGAAGACCCCCUGAAACUAUUGCUAUGGAAUAAAAGAUGAAAUGCUCCUGAUUAUUGUAAAUACAAAAUUGCAUGCAGGAUUGUCUAAAGACAAUGCCAGGUUGGACUGCCAGAAUGAACCAACAGCACGUGAUGUGCUUCCCUCUGCAGAGAGCCUAUGAAUGGACAUGCAGUCAGGGAGGUUUCACAUCACCAAGAUUCCUAUCCCAGAAAAGCAGAUGUUCAUAGCUCUGGGAAUGGAAUGCGGCCCUUGUGGAGAGCCUAUAAAUGGAUGCAUGGGGGGCACCUGUCCAUAUAGAUAAGAUAGGGCUAUAAAUGCCCUCAUCUUGCCAUGGCUCUUCUAGGCCUCUUUAGGGUUAAGGCAUACUCCCUUCUGAAAAUUUCUGGUCUAACCGGUUGUCUAGCUUCAGGUCCUGUUUCUAUGGAUUGUUCGUAACCAUCUUUUGCUGCAACUGUUACUGCUGAUUAAUAUCUUGCUAAUCAUGGGUUAUGAAAAGACUGUGUUUCUGUUUUAAGGCUCUGUUAGAAAUUACUGAUGUACACACUAUAUUGUAAAUCCUUAUCCCUGUAUACUGUACUUCUGCAUACAGAUGUUAUGUUAAAGAAUUACUUCAUCACCAUGUGACCAUCUCACAUCAUAAUCAAAUGACCCUAAAUCCCUCACUAACCUACCCCCAUCCUCACUAAACUUAAUAAUAGAUGCUGGUAUAUCCAGUGCGUUGUUGGCACCACGGGACCAAAAGGCGGUGACCCCCUGGACCCAGCUUUCACUGUCUUGUGUGUGUCUAUUAUUUCUCAACCUGCUGAUCCACCUGGGAACUAAGAGAGAGCCCUGUUGCAUUGCGGGCUGCUGGCCAGAUCCCGCAAUAGUAGGGUUUCUGCUGAAAUGUCCCCUGUUAGUCUGAUGGGCUUCCCUUUGUCAGUAACCCAACCUUUCUCUCUGGCUUCCCUUUACCUUGGUGAAUUUGACAAUUAUGUGUCUUGGGGUUGCUCUUUUUGAGGAGUAUGUUUGUGGUGUUCUCUGUAUUUCCUGAAUGAAUGUUCCUUUUUACUCUUUUUGUCUCUAAUCUUGUCUUCUCACUUAACUUCAUUAAUUUGAUCUUCAAUCACUGAUAUCCUUUCUUCUGCUUGAUCAAAUCAGCUAUUGAAGCUUGUGUAUCCUUCAUGAAGUUCUCCUACUGUGGUUUUCAGCCCCAUCAGGUCAUUUAAGCUCUUCUCUACACUGGUUAUUCUAGUUAGCCAUUUGUCUAACCUUUUUUCAAGGUUUUUAGCUUCCUUACGAUGGGUUAGAACAUGCUCCUUUAGCUCGGAGAAGUUUGUUAUUACUGACUUUCUGAAGCCUACUUCUGUCAACUCUCUGUCUAAUUUUGUUCCCUGUAUGGCCAGGACUUGUAUUCCUUUGGAGGAGAAGAGUUGUUCUGGUUUUUGGAUGUUUUGGCUGUUCUGCUCUGGUUUCUCCCAUCUUUGUGGUUUUAUCUACCUUUGGUCUUUGGUGUUGGUGACAUACAGAUGGGGUUUUGGCGUGGAUGUCCUUUUUGUUGAUGUUGAUGCUAUUCCUUUCUGUUUGUUAGUUUUCCUUCUAACAGACAGGCCUCUCAGCUGCAGGUCUUUUGGAGUUUGCUGGAGGUCCACUCCAGACUCUGUUUGCCUGGGUAUCACUAGCGGAGGCUGCAGAACAGCAAAUAUUGCUGCCUGAUCCUUCUUCUGGAAGCUUUGUCCCAGAGGGGCACCCACCUGUAGGAGGUGUCUGUCGGCCCCUACUGGGAGGUGUCUCCCAAUCAGGUUACACAGGGGUCAGGGACCCACUUGAGGAGGAAGUCUGUCCAUUAUCAGAGCUCAAAUGCCAUGCUGGGAGAACCACUGGUCUCUUCUGAGGUGUCAGGCAAUGAUGUUGAAGUCUGCAGAAGCUGUCUACUUCCUUUUAUUCAGGUGCCACUUCGGAUAAACCCUUUGGACUCCUAACUCCAAUCAGGUGUCUGCUUUGUUGAGGACUCACAGACACAGUCUCCUUUCUUCAAGAUCUUUACAAUGCAAGACCUCACUAACACACAGGGAUGGUCUCCCAGAGGGUCUGUGCUGUUCCUUCACUCAGAACAUCAAGAUGCACUGAAGUAAGGAUCCUCUAUUCUACAGUUCCUGCUAGCUGAGCUAUUCCAUGGGGGCUUCAGCAGGAAAUUCCAAGGUUGGCUUUGACAAGCUAAGGCCGGCUGGUGGAGCACAUCGAGUUCUGGAGGUUCAUGUGUGUUUUCAUGAAGAUCUGUCUGCCCGUAGCAGAUAAAGAGUUGUUGCCCCACUCCUCCUGGGGUCUUCUAUUUUCCUGGGAGGAAUUUCUGGAUUAACUGAACACACACACACACACACACACCCUUUUGAAGCAUCAACAGUAAUUCUGAGUUCUUAGGGACAAUGCAGAUUAAAUCCACAAUAAGAAAGACAACUAUGGCCAGGUGUGGUGGCUCACGCCUGUAAUCCCAGAACUUUGGGAGGCUGAGGCGGAUGGAUCACCUGAGGUCAGGAGUUAGAGACCAACCUGACCAACAUGGAGAAACCCCGUUUCUACUAAAAAUGCAAAAUUAGCCGGGCAUGGUGGCAGGCGCCUGUAAUCCCAAAUACUCGGGAGGCUGAGGCAGGAGAAUCACUUAAACCCGGGAGGCAGAGGUUGCAGUGAGCCAAGAUCGCGCCAUUGCACUCCAGCCUGGGCAAGAAGAGCAAAACUCCAUCUCAAAAAAAAAAAAAGAGUACUAUUGAUCCAGAGGUGACCAGACUAGCCUCACUGGAGAUAAUAGGUGACAUUAUUAUGCAAAGUGGUUUCAGUUCCCUUGUCUUGUUUUUGGAAUAGUAUAAGAGGCCUACAAUACGAAUAAAUAAGGCCCAUCACAAGCCUCACCAAAGGACAAAACUAAUCCACUUCUGAAGAAGGCUCUUUGUUGGGCCAGAUCAAAUCCUUGGACAGAACUGUACUCUUAAUCUCUGUAGUGAAAGUGGGGGGUAGUUUAAGAAUUUAUUAACCUUCUACCUUGAGCAAUCCCUCAGAAGUAAGAGGUGUCAGGCCUCUGAGCCGAAGCUCAGCCAUUGUAACCCCUGUGACCUGCACAUAUAUGUCCAGAUGGCCUGCAGGAGCCAAGAAGUCUGGGGCAGCUGAAAAACCACACAAGAAGUAAAACAGCCAGUUCCUGCCUUAACUGAUUAACCAACAUUACAACAUUCCACCAUUGUGACCUGUCCCUGUCCUACCUUAACUGAUCAAUCGACCUUGUGACAGUCUUCUUCUGGACAAUGGGUCUUAUCAUCUCCCCACCAUGUACCUUGUGACCCCCUCCUCUGCUAACAAUAGAUAACCACUUUUUACUGUAAUUUUCCAUUACCUACCCAACUCCUAUAAAGCAACCCCUUCCCCAUCUCCCUUCACUGACUCUGUUUUCAGACUCAGCCCACUUGCACUCAAGUGAAUAAACAGCCUUGUUGCUCACACAAAGCCUGUUGGUGGUCUCUUCACACAGAUGUGCUUGACAAAAGGGAAGGGUGGAUUUGUCCUUCUGGUUACAUAUGUUCUGCUCACUCAUUUUGAAUUUAAUUAAACAAGGAUUGCCCUUACCUUUUCAUACUUUGUAAGAAACCAUAAAUACUUAUGCACCAUGAUUUUUUUAAAGAAACACUUUUUAUUUUGAAGUAAUUAUAGUCUCAUAGGAAGUUGCAAAAGUAGUACAUAGAGUCCCUGAGUACUCUUCCCCCAGUGGUGACAACUGUAGUAUAAUAUCAAUUCUGGGAAAUUGACAUUGGUACAAUACCAAAUAUACUAUGCCUUUUUCUCUAAGGCAUGAUGUUGCAGUAGCAUCCUUGUACAUGUAGCUAGGAGAACUUGUACUAAGCCCAGAUAAAUAGUUGAAGUACAAGGGCAAGGAGUGUGUCUUUGAUAUUUUAAUAGAAAUCACCUAUUGCCCUCUAGAAAAGCUGUACCCUUUUCCAGUGGCAGAGAACCUUCCUGAAAGGCAGUCCUGUGUAAUGGUGUCCAUUUCAUCACACCCUUAAAACACUCAGCUUUAACAAACAUGCAGAUUUUUGCUGAUGUGGGAGAAAAUAUUAAUUAUUAAUGAUAUUAAGGUGAUUAUCUUUUCGUAUGUUUAUAGAUAUUUGUAUUUCUUUUUAAAUGAACUGCUCAUGACCUUUGUCUACUUUUAU
rnacentral:lncRNA from 1 species